GCGGCGCUGCUCGCUAGAUGUCUUCGUCGACAGCAAGGUAUCCGAGGCCCGCUUGCAAUUUCUUUCACUCUAAAAGGCCGGUCCUAUCAACCUAAAGUAGAAGAGGACCUCGAAGAAACCGUAGAUAAGUGGUGCAUUCCAGGAAAUUUUUCUCAGGACGUGGAUCCCCUUGAGUUCUGCAAUCUUGGCAAGAAAGGCUACGCAAUCGCGCCGUACUUCUUGAAUGGUGCGAAAUUGUGGAUUAGUCGGGUGAAAGCUCCGGACAUGCACACCAUCGUCCUGUUCGACAACAAGGACACGCUUCGUAUAAAGGUGUGUCACGCGAAGUACGAGGCACGGAAUACGAAAGUGGGCGUAGCCACAUACGACGUGAAUUAUGACUUCGAAUCAUUCUUUUGCAGCGGCGUCAGCAACUUUUCAAGAACUUUGCAUAUCACGACGACGGUGUUAGACUUUAUUAAGAACAAUUUCACUGACGAUAAAAAGAAACGUGAUUGUACUAAUCUUGGAAAAAAUCAUAUAGUUGGAUAAUUUCGACGGUGCUCCGAUGUUGUGUGUAAUUUGUCAUGGGGUCUUAUUA